rnacentral:lncRNA from 1 species
AGUAGUCCUCCCACCCCGGGGGACGGGUGCGGGGGGUGACCCGGUGAAGAGGGCAGGGAGCUGGGGCAGCCUGCUGUGCGGAGCUGGGGGAGGAGGAGGGAGCCCUGGGGGACAGACAGAAGGACCAUCGAAGGAGAAACCCUGCUGGCCUCGGGACCUGGAGGAAAGAACCAGGGCCCGUGCUCCUUGGGCCAGGAUCCGGCGAUUGGACGGAACCUCUCGGAUUCCCCAGUGCUGUGAAAUCCACUUGGGGCCAUCACACCCUUCAUUGCUGUGCUCCCUGGCAGAACUCGAAUGCAGCGUGAGCUGGGCACUUUUCCCAGGGUUUGCUCUAGGUCUGGGUCUCCCAUCAGCUCCCCCGGAGCAGAGCCUGAGGCAAGGAUUCUUGUUCGGGGGCAUCUUCCUCUCAGCACCGUGCUUUGGGAAUCGAGUGAUGGUGCUGAGUGAACCCCUGAGUGAACAUCUGUGGCUUCCUCCCACCUCGUCUCUGGAUGCACUCCUGUUCGAAUGAUGUCUUAGAGGAUAAAAAUGAGCGGGCAGAUGAAGAGAUACUCAGGGUGAGGUUUGGAAGGUGCACCAGGCCCACCCCAUGGAUGUGGCUCAGAGAGCCUGGGAAACGUGAGGUCUGUGACCUGGAUCAGGCCCAGAGAGACCUGAGCAGGAGGCGUGUGAAGCCCCUGCGCCUGUGCGAGGAGGGAAGCUGUUUCAGGGAAUUUGCCUUUCUUUCCCUGUAGUUUCAGACUAGCUGAUAAAUUACCUAAAAUGUUACCACAAGAUGCACAAUGUAACCAUCACUCAUUAUCUUCA